rnacentral:lncRNA from 1 species
AAGGGCAAAUCUCCAAAAUAGCACAUUUCUAAGUUUAUAUCAUAAAAAUAGCACUCAAAAACUAAAAUGACAAAAAUAGCACCUUUCUAAAUUUAUCCUUUGAAAAUUUUAAUUUUUUUAUUUCAAAAUUUGAAAUCUUAUCCCCAAAACCUCAUUUCUCAACUUUAAACCCUAAACCCUAAACCCUAAACUCUAAAUCCUAAACCCUAAACUCUAAACCCUAAACCCUAAACCCUAAACCCUAAAAUCUAAACCCUAAACCCUAAACUCUAAACUCUAAACCCAAAAU